rnacentral:tRNA from 19 species
GCGACGGUGGCGGAAUUGGUAGACGCGCUAGCUUCAGGUGUUAGUGUCUUAACGGACGUGGGGGUUCAAGUCCCCCCCCUCGCACCA